ensembl:snoRNA
AGCCUCAUUCUACAUGAGAAUGGACACUGUUGAUCAGGGUCCAAAACUGGUCAAUGCGGCCAAACUGACACAGGCUGUGCUUCCGUCACGGUGUAUAUAUUGCAGCCGAGACGACGAGACCUGUAACAUUU